UGAUACUAAGCCAUGCGAGUCUUUGUAGUAAUACAAGGCAGACGGCUCAGUAACGCGUAGUCAACUUACCCUAUGGACGAGGAUAAUCUCGGGAAACUGAGCAUAAUACUCGAUAGAUCAUAAUGCCUGGAAUGGUUUAUGGUUGAAACGAUUCGUCGCCAUAGGAUAGGACCGCGGCCUAUCAGCUUGUUGGUGAGGUAAUGGCCCACCAAGGCGAUUACAGGUACGGGCUCUGAGAGGAGAAGCCCGGAGAUGGGUACUGAGACAAGGACCCAGGCCCUAUGGGGCGCAGCAGGCGAGAAAACUUUGCAAUGUGCGAAAGCACGACAAGGUUAAUCCGAGUGAUUUCUGCUAAAGAAAUCUUUUGCAAGUCAUAAAACCACUAGUGAAUAAGGGGUGGGCAAGUUCUGGUGUCAGCCGCCGCGGUAAAACCAGCACCUCAAGUGGUCAGGAGGAUUAUUGGGCCUAAAGCAUCCGUAGCCUGCUCUGUAAGUUUUCGGUUAAAUCUAUAUGCUCAACAUAUAGGCUGCUGAAAAUACUGCAGUGCUAGGAAGUGGGAGAGGUAGACGGUACUUGAUAGGAAGGGGUAAAAUCCUUUGAUCUAUCGAUGACCACCUGUGGCGAAGGCGGUCUACCAGAACACGUUCGACGGUGAGGGAUGAAAGCUGGGGGAGCAAACCGGAUUAGAUACCCGGGUAGUCCCAGCUGUAAACGAUGCAGACUCGAUGAUGCAUUGGCAUAUAGCCAGUGCAGUGUCGCAGGGAAGCCGUUAAGUCUGCCGCCUGGGAAGUACGUACGCAAGUAUGAAACUUAAAGGAAUUGGCGGGGGAGCACCACAAGGGGUGAAGCCUGCGGUUCAAUUGGAUUCAACGCCGGA
rnacentral:rRNA from 1 species